rnacentral:rRNA from 1 species
GACGAACGCUGGCGGCGUGCUUAACACAUGCAAGUCGAACGGAAAGGCCCUGCUUUUGUGGGGUGCUCGAGUGGCGAACGGGUGAGUAACACGUGAGUAACCUGCCCUUGACUUUGGGAUAACUUCAGGAAACUUGGGCUAAUACCGGAUAGGAGCUCCUGCUGCAUGGUGGGGGUUGGAAAGUUUCGGCGGUUGGGGAUGGACUCGCGGCUUAUCAGCUUGUUGGUGGGGUAGUGGCUUACCAAGGCUUUGACGGGUAGCCGGCCUGCGAGGGUGACCGGCCACAUUGGGACUGAGAUGCGGCCCAGACUCCUACGGGAGGCAGCAGUGGGGAAUAUUGCACAAUGGGCGGAAGCCUAAUGCAGCAACGCCGCGUGCGGGAUGACGGCCUUCGGGUUGUAAACCGCUGUCGCCUGUGACGAAGCGUGAGUGACGGUAAUGGGUAAAGAAGCACCGGCUAACUACGUG